GCUGGAAGCAGUGAUAAGCCCCUAUAGUCCCAACUACUUGGGGGGCUGAGGCAGGAAGAUGGCUUGAGCCCAGGAGUUUGAGGUCAGACUGGACAACCUAGCUAGAUCCUAUCUCUU
rnacentral:sRNA from 1 species